rfam:Gossypium arboreum cultivar AKA8401 contig_11737_1, whole genome shotgun sequence.
UAUUAAAAAGUCAUCUAUUUUUACUGUUAAAAACUAAUAUGAUUGGCGAAAUAACCAGAUAUGAUAUGCCACGUGUACCUCAUGCUAACAUAUGGAAACAAGUUUUUAAUAAUAAAAAUAGGUUGAGCCUUUAACA